GAACUGGUGUGCAGGAAAGGCAGACCCAGGUUGCUCAAACUCCAAACAUUCCCAAGAAAAGCAUGUCUUCAGGACUGGCCCUUGGCUGGCUCCUAGGAAAUGAACUCUGAACCCUAGGAAUAUUAUGCCUGUAAACACUCCACAAUGCCAGGAAGAAUUUCCUAUAAUGGCUGUGCCACUACUCUGCUUGAAAAUCGUCACUGACUUCGCCUCAUCUGUGAAGAGUCCAUCCUUCCCACCAUGACAUACAAAAGCCUGAGUGAUCUGGUUCCAGCCCAUUCCUGUGGGUUUGUCUCCUGUUAUUCCCUACCUUGUGUUCUAGCCAUUUUGAAUUAUCUCAAGUGCCUGGAAUGGGCAUAUUUCUCAGGUGCCUGUGCCUUUACAUAAACUUUACUCUCUACCUAGAAUGCUCUUUCCUCUGCCUGGUCCUGGAAUCAGACAGAUUUGCAUACAAGUUCAGACUCUGCCAUUUUUAGCUCUGUGACCUGGGGCACGUCACUUAACUUCUCCAAACCCCAGGUGUUUCAUUAAUAAAAAGAAUUCCUGAAGCAUGC
rnacentral:lncRNA from 1 species